rnacentral:rRNA from 1 species
GAGUUUGAUCCUGGCUCAGAACGAACGCUGGCGGCAGGCCUAAUACAUGCAAGUCGAGCGCGCCCUUCGGGGUGAGCGGCGGACGGGUGAGUAACGCGUGGGAAUAUGCCCUUCUCUAAGGAAUAGCCUCGGGAAACUGAGAGUAAUACCUUAUACGCCCUACGGGGGAAAGAUUUAUCGGAGAAGGAUUAGCCCGCGUUAGAUUAGGUAGUUGGUGGGGUAAUGGCCUACCAAGCCUACGAUCUAUAGCUGGUUUGAGAGGAUGAUCAGCCACAUUGGGACUGAGACACGGCCCAAACUCCUACGGGAGGCAGCAGUGGGGAAUCUUGCACAAUGGAGGAAACUCUGAUGCAGCGAUGCCGCGUGAGUGAAGAAGGCCUUUGGGUUGUAAAGCUCUUUCGUCGGGGAAGAAAAUGACUGUACCCGAAUAAGAAGGUCCGGCUAACUUCGUGCCAGCAGCCGCGGUAAUACGAAGGGACCUAGCGUAGUUCGGAAUUACUGGGCUUAAAGAGUUCGUAGGUGGUUGAAAAAGUUGGUGGUGAAAUCCCAGAGCUUAACUCUGGAACUGCCAUCAAAACUUUUCAGCUAGAGUAUGAUAGAGGAAAGCAGAAUUUCUAGUGUAGAGGUGAAAUUCGUAGAUAUUAGAAAGAAUACCAAUUGCGAAGGCAGCUUUCUGGAUCAUUACUGACACUGAGGAACGAAAGCAUGGGUAGCGAAGAGGAUUAGAUACCCUCGUAGUCCAUGCCGUAAACGAUGUGUGUUAGACGUUGGAAAUUUAUUUUCAGUGUCGCAGGGAAACCGAUAAACACACCGCCUGGGGAGUACGACCGCAAGGUUAAAACUCAAAUGAAUUGACGGGGACCCGCACAAGUAGUGGAGCAUGUGGUUUAAUUCGAAGAUACGCGCAGAACCUUACCAACACUUGACAUGUUCGUCGCGACUCUAAGAGAUUAGAGUUUUCGGUUCGGCCGGACGAAACACAGGUGCUGCAUGGCUGUCGUCAGCUCGUGUCGUGAGAUGUUGGGUUAAGUCCCGCAACGAGCGCAACCCUCACUUUUAGUUGCCAUCAUUAAGUUGGGCACUCUGAAAGAACUGCCAGUGAUAAGCUGGAGGAAGGUGGGGAUGACGUCAAGUCCUCAUGGCCCUUACGUGUUGGGCUACACACGUGCUACAAUGGCAUCUACAACAGGAAGCAAAACGGCAACGUUAAGCAAAUCCCGAAAAGAUGCCUCAGUUCGGAUUGCACUCUGCAACUCGAGUGCAUGAAGCUGGAAUUACUAGUAAUCGUGGAUCAGCGUGCCACGGUGAAUGCGUUCCCGGGUCUUGUACACACCGCCCGUCACACCAUGGGAGUUGGUUCUACCUUAAGGCAAGGUUUCAAACCCUUGACCACGGUAUAGUCAGCGACUGGGGUGAAGUCGUAACAAGGUAACC